rnacentral:rRNA from 1 species
UACGUAGGGUGCGAGCGUUGUCCGGAAUUGCUGGGCGUAAAGAGCUCGUAGGUGGUUUGUCGCGUUGUUCGUGAAAACCGGGGGCUUAACUCUCGGCGUGCGGGCGAUACGGGCAGACUGGAGUACUGCAGGGGAGACUGGAAUUCCUGGUGUAGCGGUGGAAUGCGCAGAUAUCAGGAGGAACACCGGUGGCGAAGGCGGGUCUCUGGGCAGUAACUGACGCUGAGGAGCGAAAGCGUGGGGAGCGAACAGG